AUGGCUGUCGUCAGAUCGUGUUGUGAAAUGUUGGGUUAAGUCCCGCAACGAGCGCAACCCUUAUCCUUUGUUGCCAGCGGUUAGGCCGGGAACUCAAAGGAGACUGCCAGUGAUAAACUGGAGGAAGGUGGGGAUGACGUCAAGUCAUCAUGGCCCUUACGACCAGGGCUACACACGUGCUACAAUGGCAUAUACAAAGAGAAGCGACCUCGCGAGAGCAAGCGGACCUCAUAAAGUAUGUCGUAGUCCGGAUUGGAGUCUGCAACUCGACUCCAUGAAGUCGGAAUCGCUAGUAAUCGUAGAUCAGAAUGCUACGGUGAAUACGUUCCCGGGCCUUGUACA
rnacentral:rRNA from 1 species